GGGUGAUCUGCCCUGCACUUUGGGAUAAGCCUGGGAAACUGGGUCUAAUACCGAAUAGGACCACGCGCCUCAUGGUGUGUGGUGGAAAGCUUUUGCGGCGUGGGAUGGGCCCGCGGCCUAUCAGCUUGUUGGUGGGGUAAUGGCCUACCAAGGCGACGACGGGUAGCCGGCCUGAGAGGGUGACCGGCCACACUGGGACUGAGAUACGGCCCAGACUCCUACGGGAGGCAGCAGUGGGGAAUAUUGCACAAUGGGCGCAAGCCUGAUGCAGCGACGCCGCGUGAGGGAUGACGGCCUUCGGGUUGUAAACCUCUUUCAAUAGGGACGAAGCGCAAGUGACGGUACCUAUAGAAGAAGCACCGGCCAACUACGUGCCAGCAGCCGCGGUAAUACGUAGGGUGCGAGCGUUGUCCGGAAUUACUGGGCGUAAAGAGCUCGUAGGUGGUUUGUCGCGUUGUUCGUGAAAACUCACAGCUUAACUGUGGGCGUGCGGGCGAUACGGGCAGACUAGAGUACUGCAGGGGAGACUGGAAUUCCUGGUGUAGCGGUGGAAUGCGCAGAUAUCAGGAGGAACACCGGUGGCGAAGGCGGGUCUCUGGGCAGUAACUGACGCUGAGGAGCGAAAGCGUGGGGAGCGAACAGGAUUAGAUACCCUGGUAGUCCACGCCGUAAACGGUGGGUACUAGGUGUGGGUUCCUUCCUUGGG
rnacentral:rRNA from 1 species